rnacentral:rRNA from 1 species
CGGGGAUGAGUUGUGGCUAGGGGUGAAAGGCCAAGCAAACCCGGAGAUAGCUGGUUCUCCGCGAAAGCUAUUGAGGUAGCGCGUCGCGUUAGACCCUCGGGGGUAGAGCACUGGAUGGGCUAGGGGGGCGCGAGCCUUACCAAACCUAACCAAACUCCGAAUACCGGGGAGUUCCUUGCGCGGCAGACAGACGGCGGGUGCUAAGGUCCGUCGCCGAGAGGGAAACAGCCCAGACCGCCAGCUAAGGUCCCCAAGUCGCGGCUAAGUGGGAAAGGAUGUAGGACGGCCAAAACAACCAGGAGGUUGGCUUAGAAGCAGCCAUCCUUUAAAGAAAGCGUAACAGCUCACUGGUCUAUCAGCUGUCCCGCGCCGAAGAUGUAACGGGGCUCAAGCCGCGCACCGAAGCUGCGGGUUCCACGUCUCGACGUGGAGCGGUAGCGGAGCGUUCCGUAGGCCUGCGAAGCCGUCCCGUGAGGGGCGGUGGAGGCAUCGGAAGUGCGAAUGCUGACAUGAGUAGCGACAAGGAGCGUGAGAGACGCUCCCGCCGGAAGUCCAAGGGUUCCUGCGCAAGGCUAAUCCGCGCAGGGUGAGCCGGCCCCUAAGGCGAGGGCGAAGGCCGUAGCCGAUGGGAACCAGGUCAACAUUCCUGGGCCUGCUGGAGGUGACGGCGACCCGCCGUCGUCCGACCUUAUCGGAUUGGUCGGGCGGCCACGGUCGUCCAGGAAACAGCCCCAGCAUACAGACCGUACCCGAAACCGACACAGGUGGACUGGUUGAACAUACCCAGGCGUUCGAGAGAACCGUACUGAAGGAACUCGGCAAAUUGCCCCCGUAACUUCGGGAGAAGGGGGCCUCCUCGGCGGGCAACCGUCGGGGAGGGGCACAGGCCAGGGGGUGGCGACUGUUUACUAAAAACACAGGGCUCUGCGAAGUCGCGAGACGACGUAUAGGGUCUGACGCCUGCCCGGUGCCGGAAGGUCAAGGGGAGCGGUGAGAGCUGCGAACCGAAGCCCCGGUAAACGGCGGCCGUAACUAUAACGGUCCUAAGGUAGCGAAAUUCCUUGUCGGGUAAGUUCCGACCUGCACGAAUGGCGUAACGACUUCCCCGCUGUCUCCAGUACGGGCUCGGCGAAAUUGAACUCCCCGUGAAGAUGCGGGGUACCCGCGGUCAGACGGAAAGACCCCGUGCACCUUUACUGCAGCUUUGCGCUGGCAGCCGACGGAGCAUGUGUAGGAUAGGUGGGAGCCGGUGAAGCCGGGGCGCCAGCCCCGGUGGAGGCAACCUUGAAAUACCACCCUUGGCUCGUUGGCUGUCUAACCGGGCUCCGUGAUCCGGAGCCGGGACCCCGCAUGGCGGGCAGUUUGACUGGGGCGGUCGCCUCCCAAAGUGUAACGGAGGCGCGCGAUGGUGGGCUCAGGCUGGUCGGAAACCAGCCGUCGCGUGCAAGCGCACAAGCCCGCCUGACUGCAAGGCAGACGUGCCGCGCAGAGACGAAAGUCGGCGCUAGUGAUCCGGUGGUCCCGCGUGGAAGGGCCAUCGCUCAACGGAUAAAAGGUACGCCGGGGAUAACAGGCUGAUAACCCCCAAGAGUCCCCAUCGACGGGGUUGUUUGGCACCUCGAUGUCGGCUCAUCACAUCCUGGGGCUGAAGCAGGUCCCAAGGGUUCGGCUGUUCGCCGAUUAAAGUGGUACGUGAGCUGGGUUUAGAACGUCGUGAGACAGUUCGGUCCCUAUCUGCCAUGGGUGUUGGAGACUUGCGAGGAUCUGUCCCUAGUACGAGAGGACCGGGAUGGACGUACCUCUGGUGGAGCUGUUGUGGCGCCAGCCGCAGUGCAGCGUAGCUAUGUACGGACGGGAUAACCGCUGAAGGCAUCUAAGCGGGAAACCCACCUCUAAACGAGAACUCCCUCGAGAGCCGUGGAAGACCACCACGUUGAUAGGCCGGGUGUGUAAGUGCGGCAACGCAUUGAGCUUACCGGUACUAAUCGCUCAAUUGGCUUGAUCGC